AGUAGAAAACCUGAACCCUUCUCCCAACUCCUAUCUUCCGAUCGUUUUUAUCCCGAACCCUUCUCCCAACUCCUCAUCUCACGCGGCCUUCUCCAUCCAACUCCUCUCCGGCGAACCACUCCGAACUCCUCUCCGUCAAGACCACACCUUCGUCCACCUUCGUCAAGCCGUAGAUCCUGGUGCUAAGGCGAUCGACCCCGACAGAUCGACCCAUCUCUUCGCCUCCUUCACCCCCGACGUUGAGGCAGUGACUGGUAUAAGGAGGACAAGAUGAGCGUGUGUCCAGUGCUGGCCUCGGACACCCAUGGCAACCUGGACGAGCAGAUCAUGAAGCUCAUGCAAUGCAAGCCCCUCGCCGAACAGGAGGAUACAUCUCGCCCUUUCCCUCGCUUAUCUUAUUUUCGUCCGAUCGCUCCUUCGAUUUAUUCCUUCUCUGAUCAGGAUGUUUGUUUUGAGGGUUUUCUGCUCGAUUCAUGUGUAUUCUUUAUAGAUCUGAGGUUGAGUGGAUAUUUAGCAAUUUACAGAUCUGCGAUGCGUAUUCAUGCAUACCUCUCUUCCUUCCUUGCAAAAUUUCCAUUUUUUUUAACGUUCUUCCAUGAUCUUAUCACUGCCUGUGGAUGCGAGGGGCAGGCCCCGAUCGAGCCCAACAAGCAGAUUUCCUCCAUGGUAGAGGAGGCAGCGAGGUUAGCUAGGCAUUUCUGCGAGAUGGAGUGGCCUGUGCUCGUCUUCCUCGAUUCCCACCACCCAAACAAGCCUGAGCCUCCUUAUCCGCCUCACUGCGUUGUGGGAUCAGGGGAGGAGGAUCUGGUUCCAGUUUUGCAGUUUUAUGGUUGUAUAGCAGAUGAGUUGAGCUAGAGCAUUUAAAGAGGAGGAUUCCGUUGUCAUGUAUAAAGUUGGAGGCAAGCAGGAAGAAAUCAAACGCCCUGUUGAUGGACCAGCCGCAGGAGGCAAGCUUCCAGAUGACAUUGUGAUUGGGUUUCUAGUUACAUGCAUUAACUGUUUGUUCUAUUAACAAGGAAUAGAGGUUAGGGUGCUUUGCGAAAAAGCUAAGGAGGUUUUAAUGGAAGAAAGCAAUGUUCAGGCCAACUGUUCAAUCUGUUCAAAGCUCACAAAGAUCCUAGACAAAAUCCAAUUGCUUAUUCCUGUAAUAGAUUGAGAAAGACAAGCUACUUCUUCAGUAUUGUGGUAGUAAUUACUGUACUGUUUUGUUCUGUUCUCAAGCCGAAAAUAAUUUUUGAGUGUAGCUAGUAGAAGUAAACAGAUUGUUGGCUUCGAGGCCGGCUAGUUAUUUUG